UGCGUAGGCGGGCUAAUAAGUCAGUGGUGAAAUCUCUCGGCUCAACCGGGAAACUGCCAUUGAUACUGUUAGUCUUGAGUUCGGUUGAGGUAGGCGGAAUGUGUAAUGCAGCGGUGAAAUGCUUAGAUAUUACACAGAACACCAAUUGCGUAGGCAGCUUACUAGACCGACACUGACGCUGAGGCACGAAAGCGUGGGGAGCGAACAGGAUUAGAUACCCUGGUAGUCC
rnacentral:rRNA from 1 species